UGUUGGGUAGGGGAGCGUUCUGUAAGCCUGUGAAGGUGGCCUGUGAGGGUUGCUGGAGGUAUCAGAAGUGCGAAUGCUGACAUAAGUAACGAUAAAGCGGGUGAAAAGCCCGCUCGCCGGAAGACCAAGGGUUCCUGUCCAACGUUAAUCGGGGCAGGGUGAGUCGACCCCUAAGGCGAGGCCGAAAGGCGUAGUCGAUGGGAAACGGGUUAAUAUUCCCGUACUUGGUGUUACUGCGAAGGGGGGACGGAGAAGGCUAUGUUGGCCGGGCGACGGUUGUCCCGGUUUAAGCGUGUAGGUGUGUGUUCCAGGUAAAUCCGGUU
rnacentral:rRNA from 1 species